rnacentral:tRNA from 1 species
GGCUUGUAGCUCAGGUGGUUAGAGCGCACCCCUGAUAAGGGUGAGGUCGGUGGUUCAAGUCCACUCAGGCACA